AUUGAACGCUGGCGGCAGGCCUAACACAUGCAAGUCGAGCGGAUGAAGGGAGCUUGCUCCUGGAUUCAGCGGCGGACGGGUGAGUAAUGCCUAGGAAUCUGCCUGGUAGUGGGGGAUAACGUCCGGAAACGGGCGCUAAUACCGCAUACGUCCUGAGGGAGAAAGUGGGGGAUCUUCGGACCUCACGCUAUCAGAUGAGCCUAGGUCGGAUUAGCUAGUUGGUGGGGUAAAGGCCUACCAAGGCGACGAUCCGUAACUGGUCUGAGAGGAUGAUCAGUCACACUGGAACUGAGACACGGUACAGACUCCUACGGGAGGCAGCAGUGGGGAAUAUUGGACAAUGGGCGAAAGCCUGAUCCAGCCAUGCCGCGUGUGAAGAAGGUCUUCGGAUUGUAAAGCACUUUAAGUUGGGAGGAAGGGCAGUAAGUUAAUACCUUGCUGUUUUGACGUUACCAACAGAAUAAGCACCGGCUAACUUCGUG
rnacentral:rRNA from 1 species